rnacentral:rRNA from 1 species
AUUGAACGCUGGCGGCAGGCCUAACACAUGCAAGUCGGACGGUAGCACAGGGGAGCUUGCUCCUCGGGUGACGAGUGGCGGACGGGUGAGUAAUGUCUGGGGAUCUGCCCGAUAGAGGGGGAUAACCACUGGAAACGGUGGCUAAUACCGCAUAACGUCGCAAGACCAAAGAGGGGGACCUUCGGGCCUCUCACUAUCGGAUGAACCCAGAUGGGAUUAGCUAGUAGGCGGGGUAACGGCCCACCUAGGCGACGAUCCCUAGCUGGUCUGAGGGGAUGGCCAGCCACACUGGAACUGAGACACGGUCCAGACUCCUACGGGAGGCAGCAGUGGGGAAUAUUGCACAAGGGGCGCAAGCCUGAUGCAUCCAUGCCGCGUGUAUGAAGGAGGCCUUCGGGUUGUAAAGUACUUUCAGCGGGGAGGAAGGCGAUGUGGUUAAUAACCGCGUCGAUUGACGUUACCCGCAGAAGAAGCACCGGCUAACUCCGUGCCAGCCGCCGCCGUAA